ACCUUCAAACACAACCUCCUAUAAUCACAACAACAUCAUCAACCAUGGCAAGUUAUCAGAAGCAGUACGAGGAUCAGGGUCGCAAGAUCGACGAGUAUGGAAACGUCGUAAGGGAAACUGAUGAAUAUGGCAACCCGGUUCAGGCUGCCAGUGUCACCUAUAUAACCUCCUCCACCGGCGGUGUUAGGGAUGACAAUAGCAAGCAACAUGAUACCAGUAAUGUCUACGGAUCAGACACCCGUAAACAACAUGGAACUAUAGGUGAUACCGGUAGACAGCAAGGACCAACCGCUGGCUUUACUGCUGACACUGGUAGACAACAUGGAACUACCGGUGGUUUUACUGGUGACACCCAUAGACAAUAUGGCACUACCGGUGGUUUGACCGGUGACACCGGGAGACAACAUGGGACUACCGGUGGUUUUACUGGUGACACCCGGAGACAACAUGACACCGGGAGACAACAUGGGACUACCGGUGGUUUUGCUGGUGAUACCGGGAGACAACAUGGGAAUACCGGCGGCUUCACUGCUGACACUGGUCUGGGAGGCCCUUACGUUGGAGCCAACACCGCUGACACAGGGACUGGUCCUAGAAGUGGAACCACAGGUGGCAGCGGCUAUGGAUCGGGUGGUGGCGCAGGUGGUGGUUAUGGAAGUGGAACUGGGCAUGGUAUCAACACUGGGGGAGCACACAGAGAUGAUGGGUAUGGAAGGGAGUAUCGUGAGCAUGACCAGUCUCGUGGAGAUCAGGACAAGAAAGGGAUAAUAGACAAGAUUAAAGAGAAGCUUCCCGGAGUACACAGUGACAACAGCAAGUAGAAACAUAUGUGUGUGUUUGCAUGCAUGUAUACUACAUAGUAUAAACAUGUUAUAUUGUUGUGUUUUUGAAUAAGUUUGCUGCAUAUAUACGUACUCGUACAGUACUGUCUUGUCGUGUAAAUGUGGUGGAUCUUGUAUAUGGUUAAAGUGUAUGCAAGAGGAAUAAAAUGUGCAUGCAUGCAAGGGAAAGAAGGCAUAGAUGUUCUGUUCUGCCAAUGCAUAUGUAAAACCUACCCUGUUGUAUAGCAGGGUGCUUCAGUUGUGUGUUUUAAAUUUUCCAAUGAAGCAACUUUUUAUUUCUUUCUUUCUUGAUCAUUUAAAUUUUAUGUGACCAGCUAUUUUCUGUUAUCACCUUCCUUAAUAUCUUUUUAACAUGCAUAAGAGAAAAAUUGUUAGAAAGAAUCACUGG
rnacentral:lncRNA from 1 species